CCUGUUUUCAGUUAUGAGUUUCUAUGUCUAACGUUUCACCGUUUAUUUUAUUUUAUUUUUUUAUAAUUAAUAUUUUUAUUGUUAUUAGAUGAUAAAAUAUAAAUAGUACUUGAUACAUGACUUACUACUUUUUAGAUUUUUUUUAUAAAUUUUUAAGUAGGACGAACAGACAAAUAUUUGACACUAAAAUGAGAUGGAGUACUGAGU
rnacentral:pre_miRNA from 1 species